UUUAGUAACGCAUGGGUAAGAUUUUCUAAACGAAGUGUGGCAACCCCAAUUACUUAAUAAAAAAUAAAAAUGUUAUAAAAUGAAAAUGGCGUCAUUUCACCAAAUAUCUUAAAACACAAAUUCACGAAUAAUAAAAUAAAUGUUUGCCACGGCCUGUUAAUAUUUAUGAAGACCUCUUCAUGGAUUGGAUUUAAGCAACCUGCUGUGUAAUAUCCUCGCCAUUCUUGAUGUUGAGAAGAUCUAUAAGUCUUUUACGUUUCAUCUGAGUGUUGUGGUUUUUCAUUAUGUUAAAAAUAAGACUUUGUUAGUUCAAGUGUCUCUAUAACUAUGAAGAAGAACAAAAGAAAAUGCUUUGAGUGUGGUUCUUCGCCUGCCGAUGAUCCAGAGAAGACCCUACAGAGAUUACCGAAACUUGAUUCUACAAAUUUAGUCUCCGGUAGCUUAAUCUGGAGCAACAUAAGGUUAAUUAUGAAAUGGUAAUGAAAAUAAACAUCUGAGAAAAGCAAAUUCCAUGAACUAAUUUGAAAGUAUCUGUUACCAGAAGUAAAUUUUUUACUAUACCACUGUUCAAUAUUAAACCACAGGUAUAUGUACUAAAGGCAGAAGUUCAGUACCAACAAACUCACAAAAAAUGAGCCCAAAUUUAGCAUUACUUGCAAGCCAGACUAAGAAAUUUCAAGAAGAUAAUUUAAAAGAAGACAAUAGAAUAAACAGAUAAACAGAUGGAAACCAGGCAAUAGGUGUAGCAAAAUAGAAGAUGAAGGUCUAGCUGUGCCAGUGCUGAGCCACACAGUUGCUACUGGCAUGUUUGCAAAAUAGCACAAGGUGUAGCAAAAUAGAAGAUGAAGGUCUAGCUGUGCCAGUGCUGAGCCACACAGUUGCUACUGGCAUGUUUGCAAAAUAGCACAAGGUGUAGCAAAAUAGAAGAUGAAGGUCUAGCUGUGCCAGUCAGUGCUGAGCCACACAGUUGCUGCUGGCAUGCUUGCAAACUAGCACAAGGUGUAGCAAAAUAGAAGAUGAAGGUCUAGCUGUGCCAGUGCUGAGCCACACAGUUGCUACUGGCAUGUUUGCAAUAUAGCACAAGGUGCUGUAAAAUGAAGAUAUAUUGUUAAAUAACAUGAGAUAGAAAUGAAAGAUGAAGAUCUAGCUGUACCCGUCCCGAGCCACACUACUGCAGCCACGUUGCUGCUGGCAUUUUUGCAAAAUAGCACAAGGUCACAACAAUUGAUGUAACAAAUAUAAUCAAUGGACCAGGCACCUGCACUAUGAUUCUUUGGAAUACUAAAAUUCGUCUCUUUAUGUCUGUACUUCUCAUAAUGAAAAAUGUCACGUUUUUAUGAAAGAAAUAAUGGAAUCAAAUAAUAAAUAAAACAAGCAUAUGCUGGAAGUCCUCAGAAACAGCUCCGACUUUGAUGAUUUUUUUUAAAGUCAUGUUUUUUAUGUUAUUUAAAAUCAUAAAUGUUUUGGUGGACGAAAUUAUUUAAAUUGUUAAAAAAUAUCUAUGCUAUUUAUACAUAUAUAUAUUUUUUUUAAAUACAACCGACUUCAAAAAUACAAACUUAUGCAGAAAACUAACAAACGAAAGAAAAUAUUAUAAUAUUUUCUAUCUAUUGAUCACUUUGAAGGCGGUGCCAAUGGUCCAAUUAAUGGGCCGACAAUUAGUUAUCUAUUGUUUACUAGCUAUAGCUAUAUUCGAAUUGCUUUUUCAUAUGUUUAAAAGACUAUCAUCGGAAUGAACCCUUUAUAAUAAAAAAGUAUUAUCAAAAUCGGACCGGUCCGACCUAUUUAACCAUUAAUUUUUAGUAGACAACCGAUCGGUUGUAUACUAAAAUUAAUGGUUAAACAAUCAAUCAUCCCCUGUUUUCGUAAUGUAAAACCAAGCAUAACUGUUAACAUGAGUAGUCCGAUUUUGAUAAUUCUUUUAAUUGAUCAUUCUUGAUUGUUUUAGUUUAAAACCAAGCAUGUCUUCGAAUUCCGAUUUAAAUAACUUUGUUUUAAAUAGAAAGGGUAUAUUCCGACAAUGGUCCCAAAUCAUUAUAAAUUUUAAAAAAACGAAGAUGACUGGUUAUUUUCCCAUUAAUUGUAUUGUAAAACUAUGCGUAACUUAUUACGAAGUGGUCCGAUUUCGUAAAUUCUUUAUAGAUUGUAAAGGUAUUUUGAUUGUAAAGCUCCCAUAUAAAUUUUAAAAAACAAUUUCAAUCCUAAAUGUGCGAUUGAUUGUUUUCUUAUUCAUUUUAAUGUAAAACCAAGCAUAACUUUUUAUUGGGUGGUUCGAUUUUGAUUAUUCUUUUUUUGAUAGAAAGGCUAUAUUCCUAAAAGUCUCAUAAAAUGUUGGAAAAAACAAUUUCAAACCUAAUAGUAGGAAAAUAGAAGAUGAUUAAUUGUUUUCCCAUUUAUUGUAAUGUUAAACUAUGCGUAACUUUUUACUGAGUGGACCGAUUUUGAAAAUUCUUUACUUUUUGUAAAGGGUUUAUUUCGAAGUAGGUCCCAUAUAAAUUUCGGAAAACAAUUCGAAUCCUUAAGGUGGAAAAAAACGGUACGAUUGAUUGCCUACCCAUUAAUUGUACAAUUGGCACCGGCUUCAAAGUAAUCAGUAGAUAGAAAAUAUUAUAAUGUUUUCUUCAGCUUAUUAGUUUACUGCAUAACUUUGUGUUUUUGAAGUCGGUAGUGUCUAUUUUUUAAUUAUUUAUUAUAUAAAAAGCAUAACUAUUGUUAAAUAGUAUAAAUCGUUCCAUCCUCACUCAAUAUGAAGAAACAAACUGAACAAAAAAAAUCAUCAAAAUCAGAGCUGUUUGAGGAGGUAGAGGGUAAAUGCUCUAUUGAUUCGCCUAAAAGUAAUAUUAUGUUAUCGCAUUAGGUUGUAAAGUUUGGCUAAUGAAAGUAGAGACUGAAAUUGCCCGCCAAAUUUAAAAAUCACAUGCGUUUUCAUAAUUUAUUUAAAUUAGUUUUUCUUUGUGAAUACAUUAUUACCUACACUAUAAAUGUUAAACUCAGUUACUCCAAUAUUUGCACUAUAAUUUUGAGAAUUUACUCCGAUUUUUUAAAAUUUGGUGGGUGAUUUCAGUUUCUACUUUCAUUAGCCAAAUUCUAAUAAUUUUAUUGUUUAUGAAAUUUAUACUAAUUAGAAAGAGGAAGAAUUUGAUUAUUUGUUUGUUUGCAUUGAAUAGGCUCUGAAACUACUUUGCUGAUUUAAAAAUUUCUUACAGCAUUAUAAUCAUGGAUUAGGCCAUAAUUGUUAUCUCUGUAUUCCCACGGGAACGAGAACUACGCUGGUGAAACUGCGUGACGUUUGCAUAGUUUAUCAUAUGUACAAAUAUCCCGACAAUCUAUAUUUUUAUGUAUGAAUUGGUUAAGUUAUAAUUGACUUGAUUUUCCCAAAUAUCUCAGUGAAGUCAAAUACCCAAUUGAUGCAUAGAUAUAUUUUUAUUUUGGUUUUCAUUUUACUUUAAAGAUAAAAUUUAGUUUUAGAAGCAAAAUGAAUAUAUGUAGAUUAUAUUUAAGGUGCUGAUGUUUACUUAGUAAUUGAUUAAGUGCAUAACAUAUUUAUUUGAUAAUAAAGACAUUUCAACUUGAAA